rnacentral:lncRNA from 1 species
AGGGGAUUCCUCGCCGUUGCUCAGCCCGCCGCGCCAAGGCUGCCUUCCCCUGCUUUCCCUUGGCCGCGCCGCCGGAACUUCGUGGGAAGGCAGUCCCCGCGCUCGUGGUGCGAGCAUCUCUCCAGUCGCGCGUCGGUGGCUGGGAUACAGCCCGGGUACCCAGCGUGCGCCUGUUGUCACUGCCGAGCCCAACUCCGAACGCCCCGCUCCUGUACCCGCCGUUUCUGAUUGGCCGGCCGGAGGCGGAGCGAUUGUCAGGCCGCCCAAUCGGUGCUCGGUUUCCCACGGGCUCCCGCUGCCCCGCCCCCGGGGCCGCAGGCGGAGGCACCCUGACAGCUCCGAUUGGCAGACAGCGAACGGUCCGGUGCACAGCCGGGCGGAGCAGCGCCGCCGCCGUCGGGCGCGCAGCUCUGCAGCGCAGCGAACGCUUUGGCGCCCGCAGCCCCGGGAGCCCAGCGGCCCCGCAUUGUCCCUGGCCCUGUGACUGAGAUCUGGGAUGAGCGUCGCGGAUUGAUGGCUGUUUUCCAAAUGUUGACAUUAUCAGAAGCCUGACCUCCACGUGGCAAAGAAGGGCCUGUUUUAAGAGGCCUCACCAAACAGCUGGCUGCAAAGGGCUGCUCUUUGAGACCAGGUUGUCUGCAGAGUCCCGAGCUGUCGGGGUUGGCCGGCUGCCUUUCUUCUCUGGCGGUGUGUGUGUGUUCUCCAUGUUUCCAGGGUGAAGCGCCCACGAGCAGCUGGACUGAGUUCAUUGCUUUCCUUGCUGUGAAGAGCUGCCAUGGAGAUGCCCCGAAGGGCUGCAGGCCUCACCUUUCAUCCACACGCCCUCCCGCACCAGGGCUGCUGCUGGGCUCCUGCCUGGAGCUGCUGGGGUCAGUGGGUGGGACACCCCUGGGUGUUCUUAAAUCCACUGGUAGCUGGUGCCUAAACUCCAACUCAGGAUGGCGGCUGUGUGGUCCAUGUCUGGAUGCUGCAGAGCCUUUUCCAGAAUGAGCCGCCCCUGCUCUUGUCUUGACCUCCCCACCAUCUGUCUUCAAAUAGUAGCCCGAGGGCACCUUUUAGGUCAGACAGUGUUGCUGUGCUCAAAACCUUCCUGUGCUUUUUUUUCCUAGGUGUUUGGUGAAAAAUAUUUCUUUCUUUCUUUCUUUUUUCCUAGCUAACAACAUAGCUGUUUUUUUUUUUUUAUCUUACUUUAUUUUAAUUUUUUUAAAUUACUCAAUGAAUUUAUUACAUUUAUAGUUGUACAAUGAUCAACACAAUCCAAUUUUAUAGGAUUUCCAUCCCACAACCCUAGCACAUCCCCCCACCCCCCGAACUGUCUCCUUUGGAAACCAUACGUUUUUCAAAGUCUGUGAGUCAGUAUCUGUUCUGCAAAGAAGUUCAUUCUGUCCUUUUUCCAGAUUCCACAUGUCAGUGAGAGCAUUUGAUGUUGGUGUCUCACCGUUUGGCUGACUUCACUUAGCAUGAUAAUUUCUAGGUCCAUCCAUGCUGCUGCAAAUGCUGUUAUUUUGUUCCUUUUAAUGGCUGAGUAAUAUUCCAUUGUGUAUAUGUACCACAUCUUCUUGAUCCACUCCUCUGCCGAUGGGCAUUUAGGUUGUUUCCAUGUCUUGGCUAUUGCAUAGAGUGCUGCAAUGAACAUCGGAGUACGUGUGUCUUUGCGAGUCGUGGUUUUCUCUGGGUAGAUGCCCAGGAGUGGGAUUGCUGGAUCAAAUGGUAGUUCUAUUUUCAGUUUUCUGAGGCAUCUCCAUACUGUUUUCCCCAGUGGUUGCCCCAAUUUACAUUCCCACCAACAGUGUAAUAGGGUUCCCUUUUCUCCACAUCCUCUCCAGCAUUUAUUGUUUGUAGACAUUUAGAUGAUGGCCAUUCGGGCUGGUGUAAGGUGGUACCUCAUCGUGGUUUUGAUUUGCAUCUCUCUAAUAAUGAGUGAUGUUGAACAUCUUUUCAUGUGUUUUUUGGCCACCUGUAUAUCUUCUUUGGAGAAUUGUCUGUUUAGAUCUUCUGCCCAUUUUUUGAUGGGGAACAAUAUUUCUUUAAUGGAGUUAUGGUUCAGAAAUUUCCGCGUGAUUAAUAUCACAUUUAAAUGUAACUAUAAGUAGCUUGAUGAAAUGAUGUAUAGCAUGAAGAGGCGAAGACUUAUAUUCUAAAGGUUUGAAUCCCUCGAUUUGAGGUCUAGAGCUGCCGUUUAGAAGGAGAGCUUGUGAAUUUAAAGAUGUCAUUUGGCAUCUCGGAGUUUUCUUAUCUGUUAAAAUUGGCAGAUGUGAUAUAAUUCUGAUUUCUUCAAAACAGUGUUGGUAUAAGGAUCAAAUGAACUGAUAGGUUUUUUUUUUUUUUUUCAUUCUCUUCAUCGUAUUAUCUUCCAUCAAAAAGUUUUAUAGGUGGCUCAGCAUUAACAAGCCCAACUAGGAUCCAUGAGGACGUGGGUUUGAUUCCUGGCCUCACUCAGCGGGUUAAGGAUCCCGCAUUGCUGUGAGCUAUGAUGUAGGUUGCAGAUGCAGCUCGGAUCCUGUGUUGCUGUGGCGGUGGUGUAGGCUGACAGCUGUAGCUCCGAUCCAACCCCUAGCCUGGGAACCUCCGUAUGCCU